AUUGAACGCUGGCGGCAUGCUUUACACAUGCAAGUCGAACGGUAACAGGCCUUCGGGUGCUGACGAGUGGCGAACGGGUGAGUAAUGCAUCGGAACGUACCCAGAGGUGGGGGAUAACGCAGCGAAAGCUGUGCUAAUACCGCAUGUGAUCUGAGGAUGAAAGCGGGGGACCGGGCAGCAAUGUUUGGCCUCGCGCCUUUGGAGCGGCCGAUGUCGGAUUAGCUAGUUGGUGGGGUAAAGGCCUACCAAGGCGACGAUCCGUAGCUGGUCUGAGAGAACGACCAGCCACACUGGGACUGAGACACGGCCCAGACUCCUACGGGAGGCAGCAAUGGGGAAUUGUGGACAAUGGGCGCAAGCCUGAUCCAGCAAUGCCGCGUGCGGGAAGAAGGCCUUCGGGUUGUAAACCGCUUUUGGCAGGAACGAAACGGUGUCCGCUAAUACCGGGCGCUAAUGACGGUACCUGCAGAAUAAGCACCGGCUAACUACGUG
rnacentral:rRNA from 1 species